GACGAACGCUGGCGGCGUGCUUAACACAUGCAAGUCGAGCGGAGCGGCGAACGGGUGAGUAACGCGUGAGUAACUGCCCCCCUCUCUGGGAUAACAGUUGGAAACGGCUGCUCAUACCGGAUAGUGGGGGAUGACUCGCGUCCGAUCGGCUUGUUGGUGGGGUAGUGGCCUACCACGGCGACGACGGGUAGCCGGCCUGGGAGGGCGACCGGCCACCUUGGGCUGAGAUACGGCCCAAACUCCUACGGUAGGCAGCAGGGGUGAAUAUUGCACAAGGGGGGAAACCCUGAUGCAGCAGCGCCGCGGUCGGGAUGACGUCCUUCGGGUUGUAAACCGCUUGCAGCCAUGACGCGGUAGUGGCAGAAGAAGCACCGGCUAACUACGUGCCAGCCGCCGCGGUAAUAC
rnacentral:rRNA from 1 species